CAGAAACUAUCAAACUCUUAGAGGAAAACAUAGGCAGAACACUCUGACAUAAAUCACAGCAAGAUCCUUUUUGACCCACCUCCUAGAGAAAUGGAAAUAAAAACAAAAAUAAACAAACGGGACCUAAUGAAACUUCAAAGCUUUUGCACAGCAAAGGAAACCAUAAACAAGAUCAAAAGACAACCCUCAGAAUGGGAGAAAAUAUUUGCAAAUGAAGCAACUGACAAAGGAUUAAUUUCCAAAAUUUACAAGCAGCUCAUGCAGCUCAAUAUCAAAAAAAAACAAACAACCCAAUCCAAAAAUGGGCAGAAGACCUAAACAGACAUUUCUCCAAAGAAGAUAUACAGACUGCCAACAAACACAUGAAUGGGCAGAAGACCUAAACAGACAUUUCUCCAAAGAAGAUAUACAGCCUGCCAACAAACACAUGAAAGAAUGCUCAACAUCAUUAAUCAUUAGAGAAAUGCAAAUCAAAACUACAAUGAGAUAUCAUCUCACACCAGUCAGAAUGGCCAUCAUCAAAAAAGUCUAGAAACAAUAAAUGCUGGAGAGGGUGUGGAGAAAAGGGAACACUUCUGCACUGCUGGUGGGAAUGUGAAUUGGUUCAGCCACUAUGGAGAACAGUAUGAAGGUUCCUUAAAAAACUACAAAUAGAACUACCAUAUGACCCAGCAAUCCCACUACUGGGCAUAUACCCUGAGAAAACCGAAAUUCAAAAAGAGUCAUGUACCAAAAUGUUCAAUGCAGCUCUAUCUACAAUAGCCUGGAGAUGGAAACAACCUAAGUGUCCAUCAUCAGAUGAAUGGAUAAAGAAGAUGUGGCACAUAUAUACAAUGGAAUAUUACUCAGCCAUAAAAAGAAACGAAAUUGAGAUAUUUGUAAUGAGGUGGGUAGACCUAGAGUCUGUCAUACAGAGUGAAUUAAGUCACAAAGAGAAAGACAAAUACCGUAUGCUAACACAUAUAUAUGGAAUUUAAGAAAAAAAUGUCAUGAAGAACACAGGGGUAAGACAGGAGUAAAGACGCAGACCUACUAGAGAAUGAACUUGAGGAUAUGGGGAGGGGGAAGGGUGAGCUGUGACAAAGCGAGAGAGUGGCAUGGACAUAUAUACACUAACAAACGUAAAACAGAUAGCUAGUGGGAAGCAGCCGCAUAGCACAAGGAGAUCAGCUCUGUGCUUUGUGACCACCUAGAGGGGUGGGAUAGGGAGGUGGGAGGGAGGGAGACGCAAGAGGAAAGAGAUAUGGGAAUAUAUGUAUAUGUAUAUGUAUAACUGAUUCACUUUGUUAUAAAGCAGAAACUAGCACACCACUGCAAAGCAAUUAUACUCCAAUAAAGAUGUAAAAAAAAAGAAGAAGAAGAA